UACGAAGGGGGCUAGCGUUGCUCGGAAUCACUGGGCGUAAAGCGCACGUAGGCGGCUUCUUAAGUCGGUGGUGAAAUCCUGGAGCUCAACUCCAGAACUGCCUUUGAUACUGGCGAUCUCGAGUCCGGGAGAGGUGAGUGGAACUGCGAGUGUAGAGGUGAAAUUCGUAGAUAUUCGCAAGAACACCAGUGGCGAAGGCGGCUCACUGGCCCGGUACUGACGCUGAGGUGCGAAAGCGUGGGGAGCAAACAGG
rnacentral:rRNA from 1 species